UUACAACCGGGACAGCCGGAUUAUGUAUGCAUGGUCCGAUUAUGUUUUUUUAGCCCUAAUUAUGUCGUGGUGACCGGUUUAUGAACGCUGAUAUAAUGGCAGGCAGGCUGCGAUUGGCAUUUCCUUCCGACUUUUGUAAAUGAAACAUUGACGAAUCUUUAUGUACGUGGGUAAGUUUAUUUUAUCGUUUUAAACACCUGUUAUUCCAAAGAACUAAUUUCAAAGCUGUGAACGUGGUAAUCUGAUAAAAAUGAAGGUUUUGAAUCUGAUAAAAAAUCUUCUAGAAGAUGUUUAAUAUAGCUAAGUUUUUCGCGCAAAUUAGGUAUGGGGUAAUGUAGCUAGCAUGAAACAUUAGUCAAAGAUACAUUUCUUCUCGAUAUAAAGCAGUAUUUACAAUAAAAAUAUGAACUAACAAAGGGUUUCACACUCGUUAUUUUAUGUUAAUUCUUCGUUGUUCUGAUAAAAUGUUUUCUUAUAAAAAGAGUGUAUAGUACGAUAAUUUUUUCUGCUUCACCUUUUUGAUAAAUGAUAAAACCAUGUUAAAGAACAUAAUAUGAAUAUAAACAAAGGUCUGGGGUAGCCAAGCUAGAUUCAGCCUUAGCAUAUUGAAAAAAUCUAUGUCUAAACCGAACAUAAAACGUGCUGUAUAUAUUCACAAUAUCAGCCAGAAUAUAUUCAAACAAUGGUUUUUCUCAAACCGUUGAACCAUCUCCUCUCUCGUUUUUUUUAUCUUUUUAGAAGCUGUUGUUCGUGGAGUCCAAUGUCGUUGGAGUGUGGACAAUGCUGUAAUAUAUGCAAGAACUAUUAAUAUAAAUAUAAAAAAACUGAGUAUGGACGUUACUAUUUCUUAUUGUCUUGUGAAUGGAAAAGCACCAUGUUGAUGGUUUUCAUGGUAUGGAGAAAAGUCGAUGUCUUCAUCGUUAUCAAAGUUCGAAUCAGUGAUAACCUUCGACUGUUUUGAAACAGUCGGUAUGAUUGUGGUUGAUGGUGGCUGUCCAAAUACCAGCUUGUACGGAGUAAAUCCUGUAGCGCUGUGUUGUUGUGUGUUGAUGGCAUCUAUUGAAAAAAUGAAAAAUAAGUAACGACAAUUUGAUCUGCAUUUCGGAACUAUUGUUAUCAACCUACAACAUAUUUGUGGCAACCACGAGCUCCAAGGUUUAGUUUCACUGGCACACUCAGCUAUCAUGACUGAUAUUUUAGUUCAGGUGUGUGCGAACUUACUUGGAAGCGUUUCAUGAAGCCAUUUGAUAUAAUAGGCUUGAUUGGCGGUACAGUCUUCUGUGGCUGUUUUAAGUGGCAAGUUUCGCAAAGAUUGAUAUACUCUUCAAUAGCCGAUCUUGGGAUACCCCAAAAUGAACUUGAAACCUUAGUAGGAAAAAUACGAAUUGAGUAGUUAUUUGUAUCAAUCUUUAUAUUUUGUCUAGGGUACAAUUUUUUAUGUAAAUAUAGUUAUUAAUUCUGAUAAUAAAACACUAAUACCUUUU